rnacentral:lncRNA from 1 species
ACGAAAUAUAGUGCGCCACCAAGAGUUCUGUCUUUUCAUGUAGCACAAAUCUGUGUGCACCAAAUCAAGAGGUUGAGCUCUUCUUGAGGGAGAGAAGCUCUUGAAUGCAACUCUGUGUUGUUUCCGGNGAUCUCUCACUUUUGGAAUGUGAACAAAAGCCCUGCAGCCAACACUCUCAAGUGUUUGUAAGACACGUCUUUCCCUGACCAAACUCUAUCUGGAAUGUCACACCCAGAGGAGUUGAUGGAGAAAGGUUGAUCAAGUCAACUGCGGUCUCAUAGCUUACCCCAAAAGGAUUUUGGCAGUUUGGAGUGCGACAGCAUGCAUUUGAUUCUCUCACAAAUUGUUCUGUUCCAUCCUUUCUGCCACGCCAUUAUGUUGAGGGGUCUUUGGGACGCUUUUCUCAAGCUUGAUACCAUGGUUCCUGCAGUGUUGCUCAAACGGGCCUUGGUACUCACCGCCGUUGUCUGCACGAACACACUUCAGUUUCCUUCCCGUUUGUCUCUCGACUUUUGCUUGAAAAUUCUUAAAGACCUCCAACGUUUGGUCUUUGGUUUUCAAAGCAAAACACCAGACUUUCCUCGAAAAAUCGUCAAUGAAAGUGACGAAAUAUAGUGCGCCACCAAGAGUUCUGUCUUUCAUGUAGCACAAAUACUGUGUGCACCAAAUACAAGAGGUUGAGCUCUUCUUGAGGGAGAGAAGCUCUUAAAUGCAACUCUGUGUUGUUUUCCGGCCAAACAAUCAACACAGGUUUCCAAGUGCAUUCCUUAACCUCAGGGAUGAGGCUUCUUCUAGCCAAGAUCUCCAG